ACUCACAUAUAGGGGUUUGAUCAUGGCUCAGAUUGAACGCUGGCGGCAUGCCUUACACAUGCAAGUCGAACGGCAGCACGGGAGCAAUCCUGGUGGCGAGUGGCGAACGGGUGAGUAAUACAUCGGAACGUGCCCAGUAGUGGGGGAUAACCCGGCGAAAGCCGGACUAAUACCGCAUACGACCUACGAGUGAAAGCAGGGGAUCGCAAGACCUUGCGCUAUCGGAGCGGCCGAUGUCAGAUUAGCUAGUUGGUGGGGUAAAAGCCUACCAAGGCGACGAUCUGUAGCUGGUCUGAGAGGACGACCAGCCACACUGGGACUGAGACACGGCCCAGACUCCUACGGGAGGCAGCAGUGGGGAAUUUUGGACAAUGGGCGCAAGCCUGAUCCAGCCAUGCCGCGUGCGGGAAGAAGGCCUUCGGGUUGUAAACCGCUUUUGUCAGGGAAGAAAAGCUCCGGGUUAAUACCUCGGAGUCAUGACGGUACCUGAAGAAUAAGCACCGGCUAACUACGUGCCAGCAGCCGCGGUAAUACGUAGGGUGCAAGCGUUAAUCGGAAUUACUGGGCGUAAAGCGUGCGCAGGCGGCUUUGCAAGACAGAUGUGAAAUCCCCGGGCUUAACCUGGGAACUGCAUUUGUGACUGCAUGGCUGGAGUGCGGCAGAGGGGGAUGGAAUUCCGCGUGUAGCAGUGAAAUGCGUAGAUAUGCGGAGGAACACCGAUGGCGAAGGCAAUCCCCUGGGCCUGCACUGACGCUCAUGCACGAAAGCGUGGGAGCAAACAGGAUUAGAUACCCUGGUAGUCCACGCCCUAAACGAUGUCAACUGGUUGUUGGACGGCUUGCUG
rnacentral:rRNA from 1 species